UACGUAGGGUGCGAGCGUUGUCCGGAAUUACUGGGCGUAAAGAGCUCGUAGGUGGUUUGUCGCGUUGUCCGUGAAAACUCACAACUCAAUUGUGGGCGUGCGGGCGAUACGGGCAGACUAGAGUGAUGUAGGGGAGACUGGAAUUCCUGGUGUAGCGGUGAAAUGCGCAGAUAUCAGGAGGAACACCGGUGGCGAAGGCGGGUCUCUGGGCCGAUACUGACGCUGAGGAGCGAAAGCGUGGGGAGCGAACAGG
rnacentral:rRNA from 1 species